UCACACUUGAUCGUUUCAAGAAGCCUUGU
rnacentral:piRNA from 1 species